GACGAACGCUGGCGGCGUGCUUAACACAUGCAAGUCGAACGGAAAGGCCCUGCUUUUGUGGGGUGCUCGAGUGGCGAACGGGUGAGUAACACGUGAGUAACCUGCCCUUGACUUUGGGAUAACUUCAGGAAACUGGGGCUAAUACCGGAUAGGAGCUCCUGCUGCAUGGUGGGGGUUGGAAAGUUUCGGCGGUUGGGGAUGGACUCGCGGCUUAUCAGCUUGUUGGUGGGGUAGUGGCUUACCAAGGCUUUGACGGGUAGCCGGCCUGAGAGGGUGACCGGCCACAUUGGGACUGAGAUACGGCCCAGACUCCUACGGGAGGCAGCAGUGGGGAAUAUUGCACAAUGGGCGGAAGCCUGAUGCAGCAACGCCGCGUGCGGGAUGACGGCCUUCGGGUUGUAAACCGCUUUCGCCUGUGACGAAGCGUGAGUGACGGUAAUGGGUAAAGAAGCACCGGCUAACUACGUGCCAGCAGCCGCGGUGAUACGUAGGGUGCGAGCGUUGUCCGGAUUUAUUGGGCGUAAAGGGCUCGUAGGUGGUUGAUCGCGUCGGAAGUGUAAUCUUGGGGCUUAACCCUGAGCGUGCUUUCGAUACGGGUUGACUUGAGGAAGGUAGGGGAGAAUGGAAUUCCUGGUGGAGCGGUGGAAUGCGCAGAUAUCAGGAGGAACACCAGUGGCGAAGGCGGUUCUCUGGGCCUUUCCUGGCGCUGAGGAGCGAAAGCGUGGGGAGCGAACAGGCUUAGAUACCCUGGUAGUCCACGCUGUAAACGGUGGGUACUAGGUGUGGGGUCCAUUCCACGGGUUCCGUGCCGUAGCUAACGCUUUAAGUACCCCGCCUGGGGAGUACGGCCGCAAGGCUAAAACUCAAAGGAAUUGACGGGGCCCCGCACAAGCGGCGGAGCAUGCGGAUUAAUUCGAUGCAACGCGUAGAACCUUACCUGGGUUUGACAUGGAUCGGGAGUGCUCAGAGAUGGGUGUGCCUCUUUUGGGGUCGGUUCACAGGUGGUGCAUGCCUGUCGUCAGCUCGUGUCGUGAGAUGUUGGGUUAAGUCCCGCAACGAGCGCAACCCUUGUUCACUGUUGCCAGCACGUUAUGGUGGGGACUCAGUGGAGACCGCCGGGGUCAACUCGGAGGAAGGUGGGGAUGACGUCAAGUCCUCAUGCCCCUUAUGUCCAGGGCUUCACGCAUGCUACAAUGGCUGGUACAGAGAGUGGCGAGCCUGUGAGGGUGAGCGAAUCUCGGAAAGCCGGUCUCAGUUCGGAUUGGGGUCUGCAACUCGACCUCAUGAAGUCGGAGUCGCUAGUAAUCCCAGAUCAGCAACGCUGCGGUGAAUACGUUCCCGGGGC
rnacentral:rRNA from 1 species